rnacentral:rRNA from 1 species
AGUGAACGCUGGCGGCAGGCCUAACACAUGCAAGUCGAGCGGCAGCGCGGGGGCAACCCUGGCGGCGAGCGGCGGACGGGUGAGGAAUACAUGGGAAUCUACCGUCUUGUGGGGGAUAACGUAGGGAAACUUACGCUAAUACCGCAUAAGACCGAGAGGUGAAAGCGGCGGACCGCAAGGCGUCGCGCGAGACGAUGAGCCCAUGUCGGAUUAGCUAGUUGGUGGGGUAAAGGCCCACCAAGGCGACGAUCCGUAGCUGGUCUGAGAGGAUGAUCAGCCACACUGGAACUGAGACACGGUCCAGACUCCUACGGGAGGCAGCAGUGGGGAAUAUUGGACAAUGGGCGCAAGCCUGAUCCAGCCAUGCCGCGUGGGUGAAGAAGGCCUUCGGGUUGUAAAGCCCUUUUGUCCGGAACGAAAAGCGAUCGGUUAAUACCCGGUCGUGCUGACGGUACCGGAAGAAUAAGCACCGGCUAACUUCGUGCCAGCAGCCGCCGAAGAC